rnacentral:rRNA from 1 species
GGGUUUCAACACCUCCGUGCCGCCGCUAACGCAUUAAGUAUUCCGCCUGGGGAGUACGGUCGCAAGAUUAAAACUCAAAGGAAUUGACGGGGACCCGCACAAGUAGCGGAGCAUGUGGUUUAAUUCGAAGCAACGCGAAGAACCUUACCUACACUUGACAUCCCUUGCAUUACUCUUAAUCGAGGAAAUCCCUUCGGGGACAAGGUGACAGGUGGUGCAUGGUUGUCGUCAGCUCGUGUCGUGAGAUGUUGGGUUAAGUCCCGCAACGAGCGCAACCCUUGUCGUUAGUUACUACCAUUAAGUUGAGGACUCUAGCGAGACUGCCUGGGUUAACCAGGAGGAAGGUGGGGAUGACGUCAAAUCAUCAUGCCCCUUAUGUGUAGGGCUACACACGUGCUACAAUGGCUGGUACAGAGAGAUGCAAUACCGCGAGGUGGAGCCAAACUUUAAAACCAGUCUCAGUUCGGAUUGUAGGCUGAAACUCGCCUACAUGAAGCUGGAGUUACUAGUAAUCGCGAAUCAGAAUGUCGCGGUGAAUACGUUCCCGGGUCUUGUACACACCGCCCGUCACACCAUGAGAGUUGGCAAUACCCGAAGUCCGUGAGC